GCCUGGGUGGCUCAGUCAGUUAAGCGUCCGGCUCUUGACUUCAGCUCAGGUCAUGAUCUCACGGUGCGUGGGUUCGAGUCCCACGUCAGGCU
rnacentral:tRNA from 1 species